GGUGCAGCGGGCGUCGAUACGCACUUCAAGCUCCACGGACACCAUACGGUUUCAUUCAUUCGCGGGCGGCAAGCCUGGAGUGAGGCCGUGCGUUUCGCUACGUCGCGUCCGCACCGCGAUGUCUUUAUGUUUGUCAACAAAUAAACAAAACGAGAUGUGCUCUGUGAAACAAACAUUGUUUUGUUGUAUUGUUUAUUCGCAGUACUGAAUAGUGCGUUAAUGUGUAACGUGAAAGAAGAUGGACGGUGCGAGCGCUGACUCCGAUCAUUCUAUGACUUGGGAAGAUUUUUUCGGUAGUACAACGGACCUUGCGCCCACGUUAAUUGGUAUAUACGACUCACUACUGGAACCCAAGAGCCUCCGACCUGAAGACAGCAGGUUCGAAACCGCGAAAGACGCACGGAAUGACCCGCCUGUAGAAGAUAAAGGAACAAAAGAUCCCACCAUGUUAGCUGGAAGCGUAAAACUCCCUAUAGCAACAGUAAACAAAAGUUCACUAUAUACGAUACGAACUAACAGUGAUAGAAAUGGUGCUAGUGAUGAGAGUGAUGUUAAAGUUAGUGAUAUAUCUGUUAUAAUUAAAGAACAAAAGCAAAGAACUAUAAAAGAAACAAAAAUGAGACUACGUUCGACAAUUUGUCGCCAAACGUGAAACGUAUGAUAUCGAGUGCAGCUGAAACGACUACAUUGAAAUUCCAGAAGAAAACUUUGAACGCUGGAAGAACGUCGACUAGACAGAAAUCGAACAUUCCUUUAGUUGGGGCGACUUCGAAGAUAUCGCAGUCUGGAGUCGAGAUUUUGUCUUCAGUAGAAAUUUACGACAAACCAUGUGUUUCCAAACCAGUGGCUGGGAUAAACCCCGAAGAAGAUACCCCAGUCAAGUCAUUGCCAGUGAAACCAGAUUUCAAAAUAGAUGACGAACAAACUUAUGAUGUUCCGACGAAUAACAGGCCAGCGAUAUAUGACGUUCCAUCGAACAAUAAGACCGCUUUUGAUUCCCUAUCAUUACCAUACAUUGAUCAAUCAAUCGAAUUAUCUAUAACAUCAAACGAUAGAGAAUUUGAUCCAAAAUUAUCUCCGAAAGAGCAGAAACCCGCUAGCCCGCCAGAUGUAUCACCUGCAAAAUUUCCCAAAACUUCUCUACGAGCUACAAACAGCUUACACCGUAAAGAUUUCGUUAAAAAGGAAAUUCUAGCAAAGCAGCUGCGGAAAACUGGACCUUAUCCCGAAGCGGUAGGGUCGACGGGGAACUUGAAGACGUGCGUGCAAGAUAAGGAGAUGAGGUUAAACCCGCCGCCUGUGGAAGUUUGUCGGCCUUUAUCGAUGAGCUCCAUUGCGUCCUCGAGUUCCACGUCAAGCAGUGGUGUGCAGAAUAAGGGUGUGAAUUCAGCGUAUCUGGCAUCCAUAGAGAGUUUGGAUGACCAUAGCGACGCCGACAUGACGUCAGCUAAUGGCAGUAACAAUUUUGUCGACACCGGUAUUCUGAAUGCGAGUGUAUCAGAGGAAAGGAAUUCCGAGGACACGCCACAGCAACUAGUUGACGAGAUGUCGGGUCUCUCUCAGCUGGAGAGGGUGUGCGCAGAAAUAGUACAAACGGAGAAUGUUUACGUCGAAGACUUGAGGCAGGUUGCUGAGGGCUACCUUCAUGUUUGGCGGCGGGACGCGACCUUCUCCGAGGAAGAACUCUCGGAACUGUUCAACAAUGUCGAAGAUAUCUACGCUUUCAACAGAUCUCUAUGCCAAGAGCUGAACUCGUGCCGUCUAGAUGCCACGUGCAUCGCUCGAUGCUUUGUAGACAACACCGCUGGGUUCGCCGUCUACACCUCCUACUGCACCGGCUACCCUCGGACUAUGGAGCGGCUGGCAGCACUGGCUUCAAAGCCUCAAAGUGCUAGAGCGUUCAGGGAGCGACAGACGGAGUUAGGCCAUAUGCUGCCAUUAGCGUCAUAUCUUUUAAAGCCGGUGCAAAGGAUAUUGAAGUACCAUUUGCUGUUGCAGAACGUGGUGAAGCAGUGCGCCUCACGCGAGACGGAGUACGCGCUGCUGAAGAUGACCGGCAUCGCGCAGCACAUCGACGACAUGAAGCGCAGACACGAGCACGCCGUCCGGGUGCAGGAAAUCCAGUCGCUCCUGUACGGCUGGAGCGGCCCCGACCUCACCACCUACGGAGAGUUGUGCGCCGAAGGGACAUUUAGAGUGUUCGGCGCGAAGGCGAUGCGUCACGUCUUCCUCUUCGACAAGAUGCUGCUCGUCACCAAAAACAGAGAGGACGGCAUACUCGCCUACAAGUCACAUAUUAUGUGCAACGACAUGAUGCUGGUGGAGUCGAUCGCGGGCGCGCCGCUGUCGUUCCACGUGAUCCCGUGGGGAGGCGCUGCGCGCACAGCUCACGCUGCAGGCGCGCUCGCACCGACACAAGCGCGAGUGGACGCUGCUGCUCAAAAAGGUAAUAUUAGAGAACUACAACGCCGUCAUACCAUCACAUGCACGCCAGCUGGUCAUGGAGCUUGGACAAAACAAAACAGAUGAUGAUAUGCUAGCGGAGAAAUCUCACAACCUGAUAACCCAAGCGUCCAUGAGAAAGCAAUUGUCAGCACCAGAGUACCUCGAAAAGCGAAAACUGGAGAGGGAAAGGCGGAAAUCCUUUGAGAACGGCGUCAGAAACCGCUUGAAGAAAGCCAAUAGGAAAUACACAAUACCCACCCCAAGAACUGAGAGACAGGAUUGUGACUGCACCCAAGUAUCAGCAGAGAAAGGGAUCGACUACACUUGUGAAAAUUGUUAUAUAGAUUUGUGUUCGGAUUGCGAAACAGAAUUAUCCAAGAAGAUCGAAAAAUGUCCGUGCCGGCAAGAAGAUAGUGAUCUAAAUGGAGAGAAAUGUCCAGAAUGUGAUAGAUCUCUUCAUUACAUAGACGCUGGUAGCGCUGAACAUUUAGAAAGGAAGCCAUCUGAAUGCAAAUGUUCUGAUUUCAAAUCUUCGCAAGAAAGCUUCGGCAAAGAGUUUAGCGCAUCACUGACAAAUACCAGAGGAUACCACUCUUCGGACAAUAUAGUACACUACAGCGAUAGUUGUAAAAGUAAAGAGGAUUUAACUGAAAAUAAUUCCUUACUAAAUGUCAGGAAUAUUCCAAAUACAUGUCUAUAAUGCGCGAAAAUUAAAGAAAAUAUUGUUAGAAUCUGUCACUACUUUACAUCCGAGGAGAUCGAGAUGUAAUGAUAGUGACAAACAUAGGCCAGAUACGUUAAGGUCUAAAUCGAAAGACGAUCCCCAGAGGUCGAAAUUAACCAAAAUUGGAACAUGGAGGAGAAAGUCUGAGCCAGGCUUACAACAAAACUCGGUUGGGAAUCUUCUAAAGAAAGCCCAAGACAGUGAUGGGGAGAAAAAUGACGCAAAAGGCAACGAAAAGAUAGAAUUCGAAUGUCGAAAUUGUGGAUCGAACAAAAUUACGAAGAAAAUUAAAUCGAAUGAUGGAACUAUAAUAUCUGAUCCAGAAUUAGACGGCAGGAAGAGGGGUGAACACACCGAAAGGAAAUUUAGAGAUAAGAAUGUACAACACUAAAAACAUACCAAAGAAAAUAUCCAAGAUAAUAAGAAUAGAGCUAAAGGUUUACGUCUAGGAUCAGAUACUACGGCUAAGUUCUACGCUGACUUUUCUACUGAUGUCUCCACUGAAAAUAUAUUGCACAUCUCUGAAUCUACCGAUAGUCUAAAUGUUGACAAACCUAAAGAUAAUAUAGAUACUACUGCAGUACCUGAAACCUUAAGUAAAGACGAAGAUAUAGACGAGGAGACUUAUAAGAAAUUAAUAGAAAAGACCGAUUCGUUUAAAAAAAAUGAAUUGGAAAAGUGAAGUACUUAAAUAAACAAAAGGUGAUAAACGAAGGUUCGGGAAGCUGAGGACAAAACAUGUGAAGAAAGCAAAAUUGAAGAAGUGGCUGAAAGCUGCGAAGAGGCGGAGCAACCGUUGGAACAAAUAAUUUCCCAACUGCUAAUGCAAAAUAGAGAAUUCCAGAAAUUAAUAAAGAAACAACAGCAAAGGAACAGCGCUCAAAGGCGACAUCAGAGACUUAUGAAGUCCCACUCAAAUCCAGAACCCGUUGUCUUAGCGAAGAACCUAGAUUCGGGUAAAUUAAAACCGAAACACAUGAGACAAACAUCUGAAAACCUGGAUUUGAAUCAUGAAACAGACUCCACUGAACUGACUCAGGAUGUAGAAGAAAAAUAUGCUACAGAGGACGAUCACAUUUACGAAACGUUAAGAGUAGACGACAGAGUGGAUGAAAGCCUACACAAUUUGAACAGCAAAAGCAAAAUAAUACAACAUAGCUCACACCUAAGUAGGCCUAAAAGGUUGCCAUCUCCGCCAAACCUAGCUCAAGAAACUGUUGAGACACUUCCUCCCGAAUCUGAUUACGUGUACUUAACAUUUGAUCAAUUAAACAAAGUGCAAGAUGAUGGAAUUUACGAUGUUCCAGUGAAAUCGCCUAAAAGAGUUGAUCAAUUACCUGCAGACUAUUACGUCACUAUGGAGAAACAAGGACCAGCAAUCACAGAUGAGAACAUAUACGAUACCCUUUUAGAAGUCUGUAAACGCAAAAAAGAUGUUGCCACGGCUGUAACUGGAGACUAUUUGCCGAUGAGCUCUGAUCAGCAGAGCCCUAACACUCCAGAAAUUUGGCUUAGCCGACAAAAGGAACAUUUCAAUGUCUCCCGAGAUAGGAAAUCUGGAUCCCUACCUCGGAGUUUCCAAGUGGUAACAAGCACUCAAGAAGAAAAUAACUUAAGUACGUUUAAGUGUAAACCUAAUAGUAAUAGUAAGACAUACUUAAAUAGAGAUGGUAAAGUUAUGAGCAUCGAUAGGCCAUUUACGAUCGCAUCGGAUCAAAGUGAGAUUAGUUACGAUGACGUAGAAAAUUACAUGAGUGAAGGAGACAUACUUAAGUUCAACAAGAAUUCGAAAGCAAAUGAGACUGAUUAUGCACAAAAUAUAAGCCAAUCCACUUUGGAACUAGAGGAAGAAAUCGAUAGAUGCUAUAAGAGCAACUUCGAAGAAAUUAAUUUGGAUAAAAACAAAAAUGAGAAUAUCAUGGCGUCACAAGGAAAUUUGAAUAAUUCUACUACCUCAUCAUGCGAAGUUUUAACGGUAGAACGAAUUGACGAUAAACCCGUAGUUGAAAAUAUUCAUCCGGAACACAAAAUAUAUAAGCCUACUAGUAACAUGUUGUCACUUAAAAACGUCUUAAGUCGCUUUAAAAACAAAACACCCAAUAAAAACAACGAAGAGGGAGAGAUAAAUGCUAAUGAACAAAGCAGUCCAGAUAGCACAAAAUCUGAUACGAAAAGUCCCACAAACGAAAAGCGAUCUGCUUUAAAUCCUAGAAGCUAUUCUAAAAAUCUACUGCAAAGGUUCAGAAGUAUUAUAGGCGACGACACUACAGACGAUAAUCAAAAUAAAGCAGAAUCUGCUAAAACUCAAACGUCUGUUACUGAAGAUAAUAAGAACGUCAUUAAAGUCGUAAUUACCUCGACCGAUGCAAGCCCUACUACAUCUACGAUAGUCUAUUCUGUUAACAGCGAUAUGCUUAGCAAGAGUGUGUGCGAACACACUUCGUUGACAGAUAGUCAAAACGAGAAGAACAAUCUAGAAGCACUGUCACUCAGUUGCGAUAAUAUCACGAAGAAAACAGAAAAAAUCCGUCCAUCCUACGAGAAAAGCAUUAGCAUGGUGACCAGUAUAUCUAGUGCGAUAGCUUCACCACUAAAAUCUAACAAUAGUUCCUACCAAAGCUUAAACAAAUUACCUAUUUACAUGCAAGGCAGUAAACUGUUAGGGGCAAGAAUCGCUCAGUCAGAUUACGUCGAUCCUAUGACGUUAUCUAGCGAGAAAGCUGCACUUAAAAGCGUCAAUGUACUCAUUAAUAAAAAUGCCGUAAGACCAGACAGUCUUUUUUCAAAUUCUUCAUUCGUCACUACGUCUAGCGAAGGAGUAUAUCAGGAAAGUAAAAGUAUUGUUACUAAAAGUACUGUUGAAAAGGAUAAAAUAGAGAUCUCUCAAAUUAACCCAGAUGAAAGUUAUUAUGAAAAAUCAUUUGGAGAAGAUUGAACAAGUGACGGAUGAGGACGUGUUUAGAGACUCGGCGGUGUAUUCUGACCAAGAAGAUGAAGAGGCAAAACCUGAAUCGAACAAUGAUAAAACUUCGGGUAAAACUAUUGUAAGAACUUCUAGUGUUAAACGAAAAUCAUCAUUCAAAGUCCAAAAUACGGUAGUAACUACAUCCACAACGGUUAAAACUACCGAAAAAAUAAUUGAUAAUGGGCAAAAAACAAUUAUUAAAACGAAAAUUGCUCCACCAGUCCCAGUUAAACCGAAAAUAACUCAAAUGCCUGUAAAUAACUUUCCUACUAGGAAUAUCAGUAAAAACAACCUAUUAGUUAAGAGUUUAGAAGAAACUUCGUCAACAGAAUCAAUAAGUACGAAAACAAUUAAAAGAAACACGAACUUUAAGCAAACUAUAGAAAGAUCUAUUUCAACACCAGGUGAUCAAAAACCCAACAACGAAAAACAAAAAGUAGACGAAACGAAAACAAUAAAAGAGGAAGAAGCACAAUGCAGCAACAAAUUUAAAACACAAUCUUGUAGUAAUAUACAAAUAAAAAGACUGAGUUUCGAAAGGGCUAGUUUAGAUUCGGCAACGCGAAAGAUCAAAACGAACGAGGUGAAAAAGACAGUCGAACCACCGAAGAUAACUUCUAAAUCUGUUUUGGAAAGACGAAUGGAGAUAGAGCAAUUAACUAAAAGUCAAAUCAAAACUAACCAAUCUGUUAAGAAGCCCCAGAUCGCGCCAAAAUCUGUCAGUACUAAAAUAGCAUUUGAAAGGAGCGUCAGUCACAGUGUGGGCGAAACGAAAAGUCAAUCCGUUGAGAAAAACAUUCCUUCAAGUAGAAACAGUGGGGAACAAAAUGUAGAAGAAAAUGUGGACUUAAAAGGUAGUUGGGUGAAGCAAGUGGUGAAUAAAUUCCAAUGAGCUUUAUCGAGUGAUACGAUGCAUUUAUAAAGGUUUUGUGUAUUAGUAACGAGUCGACAGAUUUUGAAUAAGUAAAUGUAAUCUUUGAAAUAAAAAAUAUAUUCAAAAUAUUCGUAGGUACUGAAAGUAUAAUUAUUUAAAACAUAUUACUGCUUGAAUUAUCAUUUCAUUUUAAAUCAAUUAUUACUUAUAAAUAAUCUUGAAAAUCAUAGAUAAUUUUUGUGUAAAAUUCAAUUUGUUCGACUCGUUAAUAAAUACGAAUAAAUUAUGAUUCCGUCUGUUUUAUACUCCCUUGUUUAAAUACCUACAUAACUUUACAACUAACGUAGACGAUUAGCUCUUAAGACUAGUAAUAUUUGUAAAUUACAUCAUUUCAUCAUUCUAUCGUGCCAUAGAUAAACUACUUAAUUCUACUAUUGUCAUUUAAAAAUGGAAUAAAAAGCAAACGAGUUAAAUAUAAAGCAUGCAUAGACUAAAAAGUAAAAAAGUUAAUGCAUUUUUUUGCACAAUGCAUAUUUUUAUUCAUCUUACAUUUGGAUUUUUUACAAGUUAUAAAACUUGAUUACUUAUUGAAGUGUCACUUUGCUUAGAAAGUUCAAUGUGCCAAUGAAAUAGUAGAAUUUAGUAUACAUAAUAAUUAUAUUUUGGCAAUAUGUUAAACACGAGUAUGCACAAAAUAUACAUGUAUAUAUAGAUCUGUUGGUAUGCUUAUUUUGCUGUUAUAGUAAUGUGCCAUUGCAAAUAUAACGAAAUUGUGUUUGUCAAAUUCGACACGUGGAUGACUUAAAAUUAUUUAUUAUUUUUCAUUAGUAAUUAAGUUUGUUUCGUAGGUACUAACACCAAAAAAUCACAGAAGAUUGUUUGAGUAUUAUUAUUUUUUUACUAAUAAAUUUAUGAAUUAUUUUGCUGUUUA